rfam:Schistosoma haematobium scaffold803_17, whole genome shotgun sequence.
AUCCAGCUGACGAGUCCCGAAUAGGACGAAACGCGUGUCAUGGGU